rnacentral:piRNA from 1 species
GCGCGUGGAGUUAAUCUGGAUAAUA